CCGGCUUUUUUUUUUUCUUUCUUUUUUUUUUUUUUAUGAGCUCAAGCGUGGACCCGGCGCUGGUGCGCAGCCUGCACCGCUGAGGACUAUUGUGAAGCCACUUUGGGAGCAGAUGAAAACUUUAAGGAACAAUGAAGGAGAGAGGUAGAGCUCUGAAACGGGCCGGGCCGAGGACCAGAACCGGAAGGAGCUGGGCUUUCAUGCCCCAACCCCUGUCCCCUGACCUGGGAGUUUGAAGGUGGAGUCGAAUAGAAACCUAAGGCUUCAAACACCCACAAAGUUGGAGGAAACUUCAUUUCAAGCGGCACAGCCUGUGUUCUGGGGUCCCCCUCACCGAUUGUGUUUUCCAUAGUCGUUCAUCUGCCCGGGAUCGGAGCCGUGUCCCCUGGCUGAGGGGCGUCAAGCUUCCAGUUCAUUUUGCAAUGCUAAGGACAUGUGGGGCUCACAUCAUGGCAGGCAUAAGAUUACAGGUCCUGCUUUUAAGAAG